rnacentral:rRNA from 1 species
GACGAACGCUGGCGGCGUGCUUAACACAUGCAAGUCGAACGGAAAGGCCCUGCUGUUGUGGGGUGCUCGAGUGGCGAACGGGUGAGUAACCCGUGAGUAACCUGCCCUUGACUUUGGGAUAACUUCAGGAAACUGGGGCUAAUACCGGAUAGGAGCUCCUGCUGCAUGGUGGGGGUUGGAAAGUUUCGGCGGUUGGGGAUGGACUCGCGGCUUAUCGGCUUGUUGGUGGGGUAGUGGCUUACCAAGGCUUUGACGGGUAGCCGGCAUGAGAGGGUGACCGGCCACAUUGGGACUGAGGUACGGCCCAGACUGCUACGGGAGGCAGCAGUGGGGAAUAUUGCACAAUGAGCGGAAGCCUGAUGCAGAAACGCCGCGUGCGGGAUGACGGCCUUCGGGUUGUAAACAGCUUUCGCCUGUGACGAAGCGUGAGUGACGGUAAUGGGUAAAGAAGCACCGGCUAACUACGUG